rnacentral:tRNA from 1 species
GCUGUCGCCAAGUGGUAAGGCAACGGAUUCUGAUUCCGUCAUUCGCAGGUUCGAAUCCUGCCAGC